AUGAAGUUUUUUAAAAUUUAUAAAAAUCUUUAUUUUUUUAAUUGACUAAUUUGGUGGGUUUAGAAAAUUUUCUCUUUAAAAUCUUCAAAUAGUUUAGAAAAUUUUCAUUUCUUCCAAACAAUAAAAAUUUAUAAAGAUUCAAAAUCAUGAAAAUAGAAUGUGAGAAAAAGCAUAGACCCAUUACUUACGGUACUUACAUCUACACAAAAAGUAGUAUAGGAUUCAAAUUUGGGAUUUUCUUCAAAGGAAAAAGAAAUUUGGGUUUCCAUAUACCAUUUUGAGAUUAAAAAAAAACAAGUUUUUAAAAUUUAGUGCUAUAAAGUGGGUGGAAAUGGAGAACUUGAUCAUAUGGAAAAACUAGGUAGCCCAUCUAACAUAUUUAGGAUCCCAUCUUUUUCUAACUUGAGACUAUCCUAUUAACAUCCCACUAGGUAUAUAUGUUGUCUGUUGUACCAUUCUAGCUAGGAUUUCUAGUUUCUACCUUCCAAGGUAAACCCAU
rnacentral:misc_RNA from 1 species